rnacentral:lncRNA from 1 species
GUAGUCCGGCCGCCCUGUGACUAACGGCUGGAACCGCCUAAGACACCACCCCAGCCAGCAUGGCCGGCAGGAGCGCACCGCGCUGUCUCCCUCCAGGGAUCCGCACCGCCCUACAAUCCUGCUUUGUGCUGAGAUUGUAGUCCUGCAGGCGUACAACUAACAAGCUGGGUGCAGAUAAGAGACUACAGCUCCCCGCAUCCCAAGCAAAGGUCCCUCCUCUACGGAGCCCCUCCACGCGUCCACUGCGGUUCCGCCGUGCCAAGGGGAGCUUGGCUGUUCACGGGCCUCACCUGCUAGCGAGAAGAUAGCUUGGCCGGGCGGCUGAUCUCACCUUGUAAUUCUGACACUGUGUCUCCCGGGCUUGUCGGCUUCAUGACUUGUGCCCAAAGUUUGAUUUCUCGCAGACCAGGAGGACCCAUUGGACCCCCGGGCUGGCUGCAGGGCCCACACCUGGGUUAGACCUCGCACAGGGACGCUGCUGCCACUGUAAUAAAGCGUGCCUACACGCUUCUGAAACUGGUGUAGGAACAACCUCAGUUCUGUGAAAGGCGGACGCAGCAGGACAGAAUCUCCGUGGACAUCUGUCUGGAGGAGCAAUUUUACUGCGACAUUUUAAAGAAACAAAUUUAAUUGAUUUCCAAGUUAUUUGAGACAGAGUCUCGCUCUGUCACCAGGCUGUACAGUGCCGUGGCCUGUCUCGGCUCACUGCAACCUCCACCUCCUGGGUUCAAGCGAUUCUUAUGCCUCAGCCUCCCAAGUAUCUGGGACUACAGGCAUGCGCCACCACGCCCAGCUGAUUUUUGUAUUUUUAGUAGAGACGGGGUUUCACCAUGUUGACCAGGAUGGUCUCAAUCUCUUGACCUCGUUAUCCGGCUGCCUCCUCCUCCCAAAGUGCUGGGAUUACAGGCGUGAGCCACCAUGCCUGGCCACAUCUACUUUUUUAAAUGUGUCAUUAUAUUUGUGAUAUUGUCAUGAUGUUUUCUACUUAUAUUUUAUUCAAAAAUUUUAUACUUUAAGUUCUUACCUUUAGGUCUUUGAUGCAUUUUUAUUUGUUUAUGGUGUAGGGUAAAUGUUCAACUUCAUCCUUUUGCUUGUGGAUAUCCAUUUUUUCCCAGCACCAAUUGUUAUAAAGACAGUCCUUUGCCCAUUGAACGGUCUUUGUAUCCCCAUCAAAAAUUAUUUGACCAUAUGCUGCUUUAUACUGUUCCAGUGUCCAUAUGUGUGUCUCUUUGCCAGUACCACACUAUUUUGGAACUUUGUAUUAAGCUUUGGAAUGAAUAAGUGUACAUUUUGUAACACUGGACUUCUUUUUCAAGAUAAUUUUGACUCAUUGGGGUCCCUUGAGAUUCCAUAUGAAAUUUAGGUAGGAUUUUUCUAUUUCUGCAAAAUAGAAUUUUUUGCUUUUUUUGUUACUCCCGACGUAUUUUAUUCUUUUCAGUGCUAUUGUAAAUGUGCUUGUUUGCUUAGUUUUGUUUUCUAAUUAUUCAUCAUUACUGUAUAGAAACACAAGUGAUAUUUGCAUGUUAAUUUUGUAUGCUGCUACUAUGCUGAAUUUAUUAGUUGUAAUACUUUUUGUGUGGAUCUGUGAAAUCUCUAGAGCUUUCCACAUAAAAUUAUAUUAUCUGUAGGCUAGAGUAAUUUUACCUCUACAUUUCCAAUUUGGAUAGUUUGUUUCUUUUUAAUUCUUAAUUUGACUAGAACUUCCAACACUAUGUGGAAUAGAAAUAGCAAAAGCAGACACCUUUGCCUUGUUCCUGAGCUUAGAGCAGAAGCUUUUUGUCUUUCACCCUGGAGUACAUUGUUUGAUGUGGUUUUUUAAUGUGUGGAUUUCACAAUGGUAGUAUUUUAGUUUUAAAAUUCCUACUUUUUUGAGUGUUUUCACCCUGAAAAGAUUUUGAAUUUCAUAAAAUACUUUUCUCUGCAUCCAUGAGGUGAUCAAUGUUUCUUUUAUUUUGUUAAUGUGUACACAUUGAUCAAUUUUUAUAUGUUAAAAAAUUCAUGUUUUAAGAUAUCCUUGCAUUCUAAGAAUAAAUUGCACUUGGUCGUGGUGAAAAAAAAAAAAAAAAAAAAAAAAAAAAAAAAAAA